AAACAGUUUACGAUGUAGCCGGAGAUGACGAGGAGGAAGAUGCAAGCGCCGGAAGUUACCACAGUACAGGAGUAGCUUCGUCGGGAUCAGACGAUCAACCCCCUCCCGUGCCUCCGUUAAAUAACCGCAGGCCAAAGCCCAACCCUCCCACACGAGUACCCGAGAAAAAAUUUACUCCACCUUCGGUACCCGGAGGGGGUGUUAUAGAUAUACGAGCCAUCAGUGAAGGACGAAACAGAUUAAGGAAAGUUGAUAAACCUCUCAAACCUGCUGAAGAACCAAAGGAAAAAAUAAAACCUCUUGUCGUUUUAAAACCAGAGAAAGUUACCACAAAUUCUCCAAAACCCACCCCGCCAUCAAAGCCAGGUCCGCCAUCAUCAUUUUUAAAAAAGAAUAUUUUUAAGACUUUAAUGUCUUCGAUAAAUAAAGAUAAAGAUCUCCCCCCUAUCCCACCUUUGCCUCCAGUGAAAAAUAAUACGUCGCCACAUAACCCAAAUAUAAGCAAAUCAGAAGACACGACACAUUCUGAUGGUGUAAAUGACGAUCACGUAACAAGUAGUAGAGAACCUGAAGUCAAUACAUCUGAAGAGGAUGAUUCACAAGAGAUAUAUGAUGAAUGUGUAUCAGUAUCAGAUCCACUAGCUAAAUUUCCAUGGUAUCAUAUGAACGUAGACCGUGACACAGCAAAUGCUAGAAUAAAAAAAAUAAACAAGGACGGUACUUUCCUUAUUAGGAACAGUGGAAGAAGUAAAACCACGAAUACAAGCCAUCCGUAUACACUUUGUGUGCUUUAUGAAAACAGAAUACGGAAUCUAAAGAUCAGACAACGAUCUGAUAAAAAAUUUGCCCUUGGGGAAUACAAGGAUAAUGAAAUGACUUUUGACUCUAUAGAAAAAUUAGUAGAAAACCACCAGAAAAAUGAUGUCCUAUUAAUUGGAAAACAACCAGGAAAUGUGAAACUUCUUCAUGUGGCUUCUAAUCAUUAAGGGUCGUAUUUGACCGCGGGAAUUAAAAACCACCUCACUGUCCUUGUGAUUGUAUUUAACUAUGUUGAAUAUAUUACUAAGCUGUCUCUUUUUUUUAAAUUUCGAAUCGAAAAGGUCAGAAGAUUUGGCGUACCCAAAAACAAACCAAUGUCUUUGUUUUUAAGUAUUUUUAAUUACCAUACUAAACUAUCUUACUAAGCGGUCUCAGCCAUUGUUUAUUGUAAAUAUUGAUGUGAAGAGGUCACAAUAAAUUUAGCUCCUCGAAAUAUAGAAAAACAACCAACAACCAGUGUCUUUGCUUUUGUAUUUAACUAUUUUAUAUUAGCACAUUACACUAAUUUACUUAGCUGUCGCUGUAAUUUCUUAUUGUAAAUAUUGAUUUGAAAGGACACUGUAAAUAUUAAAAUAUAUUCAUGAUGUUAAUAUUCAUUUUAUAUAUAACAUUUUUUUUUAUUUUAAAUAAACAUUCCCAUUCCCUUCAAUUCAUAUUUGAUAUUGGUGAUAUUCAAAGAGUAAACCCGUAAAGAAGAAUAAUGCAACUUAAGUCAGAUUUAUAAACAAUUAUCGCAAUUAACUGUUAGUAU